rnacentral:rRNA from 1 species
AAUGGGCGGAAGCCUGAUCCAGCCAUGCCGCGUGCAGGAAGACUGCCUAUGGGUUGUAAACUGCUUUUGUACAGGAAGAACCUUUCCACGUGUGGAGAGCUGACGGUACUGUAAGAAUAAGCAUCGGCUAACUCCGUGCCAGCAGCCGCGGUAAUACGGAGGAUGCAAGCGUUAUCCGGAAUCAUCGGGUUUAAAGGGUCCGUAGGUGGAUCGGUCAGUCAGAGGUGAAAUCCUGCAGCUCAACUGUAGAACUGCCUUUGAUACUGCCGGUCUUGAAUUAUUGUGAAGUGGUUAGAAUAUGUAGUGUAGCGGUGAAAUGCAUAGAUAUUACAUAGAAUACCGAUUGCGAAGGCAGAUCACUAACAAUAUAUUGACACUGAUGGACGAAAGCGUGGGGAGCGAACGGGAUU